rnacentral:lncRNA from 10 species
ACAGAGACACUCAGAAGGAAUUGGGACUGGAUGUGGAGGAAAGACAUCAUAAAACUUUACAUUGAAAGCCAAAGAUGUGAAGUUAGGCCUAGUCAAGUGUUAAUUCUGAAAGAUCAAAACACAUCAUCCUGGACUGUGAAGGUGUGCCUUCUGUAAGUUAAAUGGAAUGAGAUCUUCUUCAGUGCACCUGAUGUCUUGGGAAGGACUCAGCUAAGAGGACUUUGCAGUUGAGGCUGAAUCUUGAUCCAUGUAGUCCAUUCCCGAUGGUGCUAUUUAGAAGGCCUUUUGUUGUCUGAGCAAAGUUGUCUUCCUGGCCUUACUACUGAAUCUUGGCAAAGGAUCAAUGGGUGUGAAUCAUGGCAAUACAGUGAAAGACAGUGAUUUACUGCUUUUGAGGGCGUGCAUGUAUAUGAUUAACGGAUGGAAGUGCAGGACUCCAAGAUUUACUUCCUUCCCUUUCCAGCAGAAUUACCUGAGACGAGUGAGUAAUGGGAUAAUUUGUAAUACCACAGGCCCCUUUUCAAGGGACCAGUAAUCAAAACAGGAAGAUGAAACUGAGAAGAUUUCAACUGGAAGAAUACAACUUUUGAUAAUUUCUGGAUAUACCUCUUAAUUGCAAGCAGGAGAGUCUUCAGAGUUUUCCUGUGGUGGUGGUUGUUGUUGUUGUUGUUGUUGUUGUUUGAGAUGGAAUUUUGCUCUUAUUACCUGGGCUGGAGUGCAGUGGCAUGAUCUUGGCUCACUGCAACCUCCGCCGCCCCACCCCCCGGGUUCAACCAAUUCUCCUGCCUCAGCCUCCUGAGUAGCUGGGAUUAUAGGCGCCCGCCACCAUACCCGGCUAAUUUUUGUAUUUUUACUAGAGAUGGGGUUUUACCAUGUUGGCCUGGCUGGUCUCGGACUCCUGACUU